UAAAAUUAUUUGCUCAAAACCAUAUAGCCAGUUAGUGAUAAAACCAGAAUUUGACCUUGUUCUGAGCUCCAGCUGGUCUCCUUCUACGGACACUGAUCUACUGAGUCCAGCAGUUCUCCAGCCUGUCAGACACCUCGCGCUCCGUGAGUACCCCCAGCGGCCUCGGAGAAGGGAGGCGGGUGGAGCCCACUUUUGAAUCCCCAAGCCUGGGCGCAGCAAGACCGUGUAGCGGUAAGAUUCCGCCCACUCUAGAGGGUGCACCAGGAUUGCCUCCGCCGCAGUGCCAGAGCGUCAGAAGCACAGUGCCAUCCGGGAUGCCCACCCAAACCACCACUUGCCAGAGGACGGGCCCGCUCACCUACCACGGACACCGCUCCCCCGCCGCCGUUCCACUCCUUACUCGGGCCUCUCCCGCUCUCUAAGAGAGCAAGUCCACGCGGGGGCGGGGCGACUCACCCGGAAGCGGCUCUCUACUGCCCGCCCCCACGGGCGUGCAGCCUACGCUCCCUUCAGGGCAGCCUCUGAUCGCUGGCCUGGCCCACGCUCCGAGGGCUGGAAUCUUGGCCAAUCAGGAGUCUUCGGGGAGCCCGCGAGCCCGCCUACCCCGCCACUCCGGUCCACACCCCCUCCCACCUCUCGGGCCGCACUUGAGUGGGGGAAGGUCAUAGCCUCUCUGGGCGGACCCUGGCUUGCCAGUCCGAACUCUCUGAAGAGUUCUCUAGGUUUCUUCUUACCCUCAGGUAAAAAACUGGCUGUUGCUCAUUUUUUUAAAAAAAAACAAUGUGGAUGUUCAGGACGAUAAAACACGUAAUGCCUAACACAGCGGGUAAGUCCAUUUUGGCGGAUUGUGCACUUUAAAGUUGUUGCAUUCAGCAGCAGACAGCCCAUUUCAGACAAAUUUAUUACAGGGUAAUUAAUUAUCCAGCCCUUGAUCUGUCAUGGGUUAAAAGAUAUAGACAUUGAAAAUAAAGAAAAGUAACCACA